AUCUUUCUGAAGAGAAAAGAGGAGAGAAGAAGAGGGGAGAAGAGGAGAGAAGAUGUUAGAAGAGAAGACAGUAGAAUCAGGAAUGAAAGUUGGAAGCUAGAAAGCAGAUGGAUUCCAAUAACUAUAAAUAAACUCUCCAGAUGCAGAGGCUGAAACUGCCAAUCAACAUUCUCUGCAGUCUUCUAUGAGUUCCUGGAUGUGUGCCUUCCUUUUUUUUCCUGGCCCCAGACUCACUGGAGACAUCCUGACACAGAAUGCUUUGCCCGGCACAAUGUGAUGCCCUUUACCUAGUAAAAGAGGGAGUCUCAUAAAGGUGCUGCCUUCCCCUCAGAACAAACAACGGAAAUGCAUCAGGAGAGCUCAGCUGCAGACAGAAUGCCCAUCGUGGAGCGGGAGCCACUCUGGGAUUCCUCAGAUGAAAGCCGAUUUCAAUGAACAUUGUGCUUCCCAGGCUGCUUCCUCUCGCUCAGUAAGAGCUACAGAAGGAACAUCCCACUUGUGUCUGCUGACACAAAAGAAUGCUGUGGCUGGGAGAUCUUAUCAAGCCUUCCUGUGACACAGUAACAGAGCUCCAGUGUGUCUUAUAAGAAUUGCUCAUUGUUUCACAGGACGACUGGCUCCUUGGGGUGGGAUCUGAUGGCAUGUCAGGGAGUGGAGGCCGUGUCUGCUCUACAGCGAUGCGCUUCGAAGAACCACAUGGAGCUGGAAAGAACACAGAGACCAUCCACCUUGAAAGCUGGCUGCUGUUCUCAUGCUGAGUUCUGAAAACCUUCUGACAAUUUCCCAGCAAUUCUGCCAAUCUGCGAAGCUCUGAACUGGGUGUUGCCCAUUGGCAGAAGCCAAUGAGAAUAUUCAGGUGAUCGUGCAAAUAUCACUCAGCAUUGAGUCUGGAAGAAAGCAGCAGUUCUCCAAGGAUGGUCUACAGACCCCUAGAAGUGGCCAAGCUCCUACUAGAAGGUCUAUGACAUCAACAGUAUUUUCAUUCACUAGGAUCUGCUUUUCUCACUGUUGGACAUUUGCACUGAUGCUGGUAGAAGGGCAGUGGUGGGUACCUUUGCCCCAUGCAGAAUGGCGGCAACAAACUAUAUAAGCAGUCAUUGCCGCAUCCAUACACUGCCCUCCACUCAUAAUUAAAACAGAAAAAAAAGAAAAGUCUUACUUAAGGAAGUCCUGGGUGAUGCAAUAAACAUUUUUCAUUUUAUUUAAUCUCAACCUUUGAGACCAUGUUCUGUCUGAUACCAUAGGAGUAUGGGAAUGCACUAAUGCUGCCCGCUGCAGUGCGAGUUGUCUCAAGGAAAGGCACCUGGGAGAUGUCUUGCAGGCUGAACUAGCCAGUUUUUAAAUGGAACACUAUUUGUACUUGAAAGAACAACUGACAGACAAACUGUGGUUCUUCAGACUUCGGCAUCUGGCAGACAUUUUCUUGAAAAUGAACAAAGUAUGUCUGUCAUUUCAAAAAAAGACUUGGCAGUAAUUGUUGUGAAUGAUAAAAUUUGAACUUUCAAGUGAAAAUUAGAAUUUUGCAAAAUUUGUAGCUGCCAUUUUGAGCUUGACAGCUUUCCAAAACUCACAUAUUUUUUAUUCUGAUGAGAUUGGUGAUGAUGUUAACAGAUGUCAUUUUCUUGGUACUGAAUAAAG